rnacentral:rRNA from 1 species
GUCUAUGGCCAUACCACCCUGAAUGCACCAAAUCUCAUCCCAUCUCAGAAGCUAAGACAGCCAAGCCUGGUUAGUACUUGGAUAGGAGACCUGGGUGAAAUUAGAUUUUAAGAAU